rnacentral:tRNA from 1 species
AGCACUAGUAGCUCAACGUCCAAAGCACCGGUCUUGUAAACCGGCAGAUGAAGGUUUAAAUCCUUCCUAUUGCU